rnacentral:rRNA from 1 species
UACGAGGGGGGCGAGCGUUGUUCGGAAUUAUUGGGCGUAAAGGGUGCGUAGGCGGUUUGGUAAGUCUGAUGUGAAAUCUAUGGGCUCAACUCAUAGUCUGCAUCGGAAACUGCCGGGCUUGAGUGUGGGAGAGUGGAAUUCCUGGUGUAGCGGUGAAAUGCGCAGAUAUCAGGAGGAACACCGGUGGCGAAGGCGGGUCUCUGGGCAACAACUGACGCUGAGGAGCGAGAGCGUGGGGAGCGAACAGG